rnacentral:rRNA from 1 species
UAGCGGAGGGGGCGAGCGUUAUUCGGAAUUGAUUGGGCGUAAAGGGCGCGUAGGCGGCUCGAUAAGUCAAAGGUGAAAUCCCUCGGCUCAACUGAGGAACUGCCUUUGAAACUGUCGAGCUCGAGUCCGGGAGGGGGUAGCGGAAUUCCCAGUGUAGCGGUGAAAUGCGUAGAUAUUGGGAGGAACACCAGCGGCGAAGGCGGCGACCUGGGUAGAUACUGACGCUGAGGUGCGAAAGCGUGGGGAGCAAACAGG